UACGUAGGGAGCAAGCGUUGUCCGGAAUCAUUGGGCGUAAAGCGCGCGUAGGCGGCUCGAUCAGUCUGUUGUGAAAGUCAAAGGCUCAACCUUUGAAUGCCGAUGGAUACUGUCGAGCUAGAGUCCGGAAGAGGCGGGUGGAAUUCCUGGUGUAGCGGUGGAAUGCGCAGAUAUCAGGAGGAACACCAACGGCGAAGGCAGCCCGCUGGGACGGUACUGACGCUAAGGCGCGAAAGCGUGGGAGCGAACAGG
rnacentral:rRNA from 1 species